GAAAUUUGGAUUAAUACCUCAUAGUAUGUUGACCUCGCAUGAGGACAAUAUUAAAGGUUACGGCAAAAGAUGAGUAUGCGUUCUAUUAGCUAGAUGGUGUGGUAACGGCACACCAUGGCGACGAUAGAUAGGGGCCCUGAGAGGGGGAUCCCCCACACUGGUACUGAGACACGGACCAGACUCCUACGGGAGGCAGCAGUGAGGAAUAUUGGACAAUGGAGGCAACUCUGAUCCAGCCAUGCCGCGUGCAGGAAGACUGCCCUAUGGGUUGUAAACUGCUUUUAUACAGGAAGAAACACUCUCACGUGUGAGAGCUUGACGGUACUGUAAGAAUAAGGAUCGGCUAACUCCGUGCCAGCAGCCGCGGUAAUACGGGGGAUCCAAGCGUUAUCCGGAAUCAUUGGGUUUAAAGGGUCCGUAGGUGGAUAAUUAAGUCAGAGGUGAAAUCCUGCAGCUCAACUGUAGAAUUGCCUUUGAUACUGGUUAUCUUGAGUUAUUAUGAAGUAGUUAGAAUAUGUAGUGUAGCGGUGAAAUGCAUAGAUAUUACAUAGAAUACCAAUUGCGAAGGCAGAUUACUAAUAAUCAACUGACACUGAUGGACGAAAGCGUGGGGAGCGAACAGGAUUAGAUACCCUGGUAGUCCACGCCGUAAACGAUGGUCACUAGCUGUUCGAACUUCGGUUUGAGUGGCUAAGCGAAAGUGAUAAGUGACCCACCUGGGGAGUACGUUCGCAAGAAUGAAACUCAAAGGAAUUGACGGGGG
rnacentral:rRNA from 1 species